rnacentral:misc_RNA from 1 species
GAUGAAGAACGUAGUGAAAUGCGAUAAGUAGUGUGAAUUGCAGAAUUCAGUGAAUCAUCGAAUCUUUGAACGCACAUUGCGCCCCUUGGUAUCCCGAGGGGCAUGCCUGUUCGAGCGUCAUUUCACCACUCAAGCCUGGCUUGGUGUUGGGCGACGUCCUCUUUGGGGACGCGCCUCGAAACGCUCGGCGGCGUGGCACCGGCUUUAAGCGUAGCAGAAUCUUUCGCUUUGGAAGUCGGGGCCCCGUCUGCCGGAAGACCUGCUCGCAAGGUUGACCUCGGAUCAGGCAGGGAUACCCGCUGAACUUAAGCAUAUCUAAGCGGAGGA